CGCCGCUCGCCUCGGCCGGCGCAGCCCCGGCCGCCGGGCGCACCCGUCCCGUGCGUCCCCGGACGUCGCUCUCUGCCCCGGGAACGUCGGGACUGGAGCGCCCGCGCUGAGCCACCUUCACCGACCCAGAGCGCUGCGGCUCGACUCACCACGGAGGCGCUGGGACGCGGGGAAGUGCGUACUCUCAACGGGGAAUGUGUGUGGAGGCUUUUAGGGGUGCGGGGUAACUCCCCAACUCCAUGGGGGCCCUGGUCGGCUCUGCCGCCGCGUCCGAGAUCUGAUGACUCGCUGCGCGCGGCGCGGGGUCGGCGACUUGGGGCGGCGGGGCGCAGAGUACCGUGACCUGGGGGGUCCCCGAAGCUGGGAGCCAGGUCGCCUCGCCUCGGGCCUCCUUGACCCCUGGGGCGAGGCCUGAACCGGGUCGAGAGCGAUCUUGAUGCCGGGGGAGUCCAGCCCGCCUGGGACGCUCUCGCGGUCGUGGGGACUCGUCUGGGGCGGCGGUGGCUGAGCCCGAGUCCGGCGCCGCCACCGCCGGCGUCCCGUGCGCUCGCUACCCGCCUGGGGACCGGCCGCCUAACUUCUUCCCGGGACGGACACAGCGCUCGCAUCCCGGGCAGAGGUGGAAGCUCGCUGAUCCGGAUUCGGCGAGGGCACCGCUCUCGGCGGCGGCGGCGGCGAGGGAACAAGUCUCGGGGAGUCAACCUAGGGCACCAAGCCCCCACCCAGGACCCGGCGGGCCCCAGCGGGCGCGGAGAGAGAUGCGCGUUUCAGGCAGAGGUCCUCUCCUCCGGUUUUCGCGACCCUGGCGGGACCCUCUGCCCUGCAAACUCCCACCUGGGACCGCGGCUCCGGCAGGUCAAGAUCCCUAGUGGAAGGCAGGUCAGGGGCCUGAAGGUAGACCCUUUUCUCUUUCUCCCAGCCAGGCGAUGCCCCUGCGGCCUGGGGCGGCGGCGUUGGGUGCUGCAGAGCCCGGGAACUUCCCACCCAGAGGAAAGGCCGCUUCAUCCCGGACCCCGCUGUUCUCCGCGCCCCCGGCACUGCCCAUCAGCACCGUGGGUAGGGGUCUUUAGAGCCUCUGCGGGCAGCCCAGGGAGACCACCAACCCAUAGGCCCUUGGGCCCCAGGGAGGCUCAGGUGAGCAGCGCUUGUCCUCCGGACUGUUGGCCGUUCUGGCGGAUCUGCUUCUGUUCCUCGGGCCAGCCGGCUCCACCCCGCGUCUCUGGAUUCCGGGACAUCGGACAUCUGGCUCCCACCACGCCUUGUGCAGCUGCUGCCCAGACUCUGCCUCUCCCAGGCCGGCCCAGCCAGGAUCCUCCGCAGUGACAGCCUGCCCCUGCGCCCCGAGGAAUCCAAUAAACCUUUGUGAAACCAGCUACCCGAGUGCAGUGUGGACUUAUUGGAAACAUCUAAUUUCCAAACAUUUCAUCCUGCCCUUCUGCACGCUGGCGGGCAGCCCUAAGCAAGGUAGGGCGUGUCCGCGGCCGGGCAGAGUGAGGUCUUCGAGGACCUGGGACCCGGGGGCACACAGUCCCUGGGAGAUCCCCUUCGGGCAGAGCGUCUGGCGAAUCCCCUCAUCCCCCUGGCCGCUGACCUUCCUGGGAGUCCUCUCACGGGAACCCGAGAACCCCCAUGGCGGGGCGGGGGGAGGGCUGUGCUCACCCUUUGCUUUUGCUUCAAAGACGCUUUUUUCUUUCUGACUCGACCUCUUCCGACUCGGCUCGGUUCGGCUCAACAGGGUGGAUGCGCUGCUGGUGGGUGGCGGCUGCGGGCUCAGCGGCUUCCGGGCU
rnacentral:lncRNA from 1 species